rnacentral:rRNA from 1 species
GGGGAUAAAUUAAUAAAAUAUAAAUAAUAAAAGAAUUUUUAAUAUGGGGGUAUUAAAGUAUUUUUUUAAGAAAAAAUAAAAAUUUUUAUAGUUAAUUAGUAUUGUAAAAGAAAUUUGAAAUAAAUUAUGAAAAUUAAUUAAAAAAAAAGUAAAUUUAAUUUAUUGUAUCUUGUGUAUCAGAGUUUAUUUAAAAAUAUUUAAUUUAUAAUAAAAUCUCGAAUUUAAAAGAGUUAAUUAAUUAAGAAAGUUAAUGUAGCAUAAUUAUUUUAAAUAAUUAAUUAGAAAUGAAAUGUUAAUCGUUUUUAAAUAUAUCUAGUUUUUUUAGAAAAAAAUUUAAUUUAUAAUUUAAAAAAUUUUAUAAUUAAUUAGUAAAAUUAUAAAAUUUUAAAAUUAAAUAUAUUAAGGGAUAAGCUUUAAUUUAAAAAUUUAUAAUAAAAUAGAUUUAAUGUAAAAUUUUUAAAAUUUAUAUUGUUUAAAAAUUAUAAUUUAUUAUAAAAAAUUUUAUAAAAAAUAAAAUUUAAUAAAAAUUUAAUUUUAUAUAAAAAAAAUAAUUUUUAAUAAAAUAAAAUUAGAAAUAAUGAUAAAAUUAGUAUAUUAUUGAUAAAAAAAGUAAAUUUAAAUUUAAAUUAAUUUAAAGGAAUUCGGCAAAUUUUUAUAUUCACUUGUUUAUCAAAAACAUGUCUUUUUGUUAAUAAUUUAAAGUCUAAUCUGCCCACUGAUAGAUAUAUUAAAGGGCUGCAGUAUAUUGACUGUACAAAGGUAGCAUAAUCAUUAGUCUUUUAAUUGAAGACUUGUAUGAAAGAUUUGAUGAAAUAUAAACUGUCUCUAUAUUAAUUAUAAAAAUUAAUUUUUUAGUUAAAAAGCUAAAAUUUAUUUAAAAGACGAGAAGACCCUAUAGAGUUUUAUAGUUAAAAUAAUUAAAAUUAAAUAUAUAAUUAUAAAUUAAAAUUAUUUUAAUUAUUUUAUUGGGGUGAUAGAAAAAUUAAUUUAACUUUUUUUAAAAAAUUAACACAAAUAAGUGAGUUUAUGAUCCAUUAAUAAUGAUUACAAGAAAAAAUUACCUUAGGGAUAACAGCGUAAUUUUUUUUUUUAGUACAAAUAAAAAAAAAAGGUUGCGACCUCGAUGUUGGAUUAAGAUAAAAUUUAAAUGCAAAAGUUUAAAAUUUUGAUCUGUUCGAUCAUUAAAAUCUUACAUGAUCUGAGUUCAAACCGGUGUAAGCCAGGUUGGUUUCUAUCUUUAGAAAAUUAGAAUAUUUUAGUACGAAAGGAUCAAAUAUUUUAAAUAAUUUAAUUUUAAGAAUAUUAAUAAUUUUAUUAUA